AACGUAGGAGGCAAGCGUUAUCCGGAUUUACUGGGCGUAAAGCGCGUGCAGGCGGCUCGGAAAGUGGGAUGUGAAAGCUCCCGGCUCAACUGGGAGAGGUCGUUCCAGACUUCCGGGCUCGAGGGUGGGAGAGGGAGGUGGAAUUCCGGGUGUAGUGGUGAAAUGCGUAGAUAUCCGGAGGAACACCAGUGGCGAAAGCGGCCUCCUGGCCCAUUUCUGACGCUCAGACACGAAAGCUAGGGUAGCAAACGGG
rnacentral:rRNA from 1 species